rnacentral:rRNA from 1 species
GUGAGGAAUAUUGUGCAAUGGAGGCAACUCUGACGCAGCCAUGCCGCGUGCAGGAAGAAGGCGCUACGCGUUGUAAACUGCUUUUAACCGGGAAGAAACCCCAGGACGUGUCCUGGGUUGACGGUACCGGAGGAAUAAGCACCGGCUAACUUCGUGCCAGCAGCCGCGGUAAUACGAAGGGUGCAAGCGUUAUCCGGAUUCAUUGGGUUUAAAGGGUGCGUAGGCGGAACGUUAAGUCAGUGGUGAAAUCCUGCAGCUUAACUGUAGACUUGCCAUUGGUACUGGCGCUCUUGAGUGCGCUUGAAGUGGGCGGAAUGUGCCGUGUAGCGGUGAAAUGCUUAGAUAUGGCACAGAACACCAAUUGCGAAGGCAGCUCACUAAGGCGAUACUGACGCUGAGGCACGAAAGCGUGGGGAUCGAACAGGAUUAGAUACCCUUGUAGUCC